UUAUGUGUGUCCCCUGCCUCCUCAUCUGGAAGAGAAAGAAGACUUUUGAAGAUAUCGUAUUAUCAUAUUCUAUGCUGAGACCCAGCAGGAGAGGCGAAAGAAGCGGAGGCCCUCGUUCUGUGACGGGUGACAGUCCUGUGCCUUUCACAGCCCCAUUUCAGGCGCAGUCUCAGCCUGCAAACAUUCGUUCCUGAUUCUUACUUGGACUACAGUGGCCUUUUAUGGUAUUGGGACCCGAGAAGGUGGGAGGAGCAACCUUCCAGGACUUGACACGUCUAGAAAAGGAGUGAGUCUGCACACGGUUGCCGCAUCUGACUGACAGGGCCAGAGAUUCAACUCAGAUCCCAUUCUUUGGGCUUAGAAUCUGGAUCCCGCUGUCUCAGUUCCUGGUUUUCCAAGCUGUUGAUCAUCCCUGGUGACUUCUAUUGCUGAUCCCCCAGAAGCUACAGAGCAGAGCCUCUUCGUCUUGAUUGGACCUUGACUGAUGAGCAUCAUUAGACUGUCUGACAUAGUUGGUGGUAAGGAAACAAAUAUCCUAAGGUGGACACAGUGGUGCAUACUGAGAAUCCUAGCAACUAGAGGCUGAGGCAGGAGGAUUGUGACCUUUAGACCAUCCUGAGCUACAUAGAAAGACUUUGACUCCAUGAGCCAAACAAACAAAUGAAUGGAUUAAUGAAUAAUAUUUGAAUUAAAUUUUUUUUUUGUAUUUCUGCCAAAUGUGACAGGACAGGCUUGCUCAGGACUGAAGAUGCAAAUAAGCCCUUCCCUUCUGAUGCUUCCAAAUCACAGGAGGGAGCCACACAGGACACUAAGCAUCCUCAGCCCUAGGAAGCUGCAGAGCCUCAGACUCCCUGACCCCUGUUGGAGUGGAGUGGCCCUCCUGGGAGAAUCAGAAACUGAUUUAAAUAUUCAUCUCAACCAUUGCUCAGCAGGAGCACGGGUGCAUUUAGGGGACAGAUGCCUUGACCUGAAGUUGCCUGCUCUGAAGUCAAGGACCCUUCUCUAGCUGCACCUACCCAUUGUGGGCAACUUCUCUAAUUGUUUUUGUUAAGGACGGUAACCAUGAACUCAUCCAUACAUUUAAUAGGAUACAGAGGUAUGACUGAGUUAGGGGAAGAAGAGAGUACAAUAUCCUUCACGUGACACUUGCGCUGGGGUUUUCUUCUGAAUGACAGUCCCGGAAGGUGGCUUUUUAGUUUGUGUUCUGUAGAUGAAGAAUUGGAAGUCUUUGGGGUGACUUCCUUAGAAUCGCUCAGACUUCCUACUUAGGUGUGUUGAAUCUUAAACCCAAAGCCUGUGCAUAGUAACAGGGAAGAUUAGCUGUAGGGAGAAUUGGAGGUUCUUUCUUUCUCUCUCUCUCUCUUUCUCUCUCUCUUUCUUUCUUUCUUUCUUUCUUUCUUUCUUUCUU